CGAGCUAGCCAGGCAAUUGCGCAGGCAGUUCCAAAGGGCUGUUUGUGAGGAAAGUCCGGGCUCCAUAGGACAAGGGUGCCGGGUAACUCCCGGUGAAGGUGACUUUAAGGAAAGUGCAACAGAAAGAUACCGCCGGCUUUCGGGCCGGUAAGGGUGAAAUGGCGGGGUAAGAGCCCACCGGCAAGCUGGAGACAGCUUGGCCCUGUAAACCCCAUCCGGAGCAACACCGUGGAGAGACAGAUACUGUGGUCCGCAGGUCUCGGGGAGGUGGCUUGAGUCGGGCUGAGAAGUUCGACCUUAGAUAGAUGAUUGCCCUCGACAAAACCCGGCUUACGGCUAGCUCGGAUU
rnacentral:RNase_P_RNA from 1 species